AGUGAACGCUGGCGGUAGGCCUAACACAUGCAAGCCGAACGGCAGCACAGAGGAGCUUGCUCCUUGGGUGGCGAGUGGCGGACGGGUGAGGAAUACAUCGGAAUCUACUCUGUCGUGGGGGAUAACGUAGGGAAACUUACGCUAAUACCGCAUACGACCUACGGGUGAAAGCAGGGGAUCUUCGGACCUUGCGCGAUUGAAUGAGCCGAUGUCGGAUUAGCUAGUUGGCGGGGUAAAGGCCCACCAAGGCGACGAUCCGUAGCUGGUCUGAGAGGAUGAUCAGCCGCACUGGAACUGAGACACGGUCCAGACUCCUACGGGAGGCAGCAGUGGGGAAUAUUGGACAAUGGGCGCAAGCCUGAUCCAGCCAUACCGCGUGGGUGAAGAAGGCCUUCGGGUUGUAAAGCCCUUUUGUUGGGAAAGAAAUCCAGCUGGUUAAUACCCGGUUGGGAUGACGGUACCCAAAGAAUAAGCACCGGCUAACUUCGUGCCAGCCGCCGCAGUAA
rnacentral:rRNA from 1 species